AGAACAGACCCGGCUUCUGGAAUCCCCUGGAUCCCGGUUCCUGCGGUGACACGCGAGGCUGGUAACUGGAAUCUCCAGACCCAGGCCCAAGCUGGCCAGGGAUGCCCACUGAGCCCCAACUGUCCAACCAGGGCACCCAGGACUGACGUGUAGCAGAAACUGUCCAUGGAGCUGGUUAACAAGGUGGACAGGGGGCUGUGGUGAUGGCACAGUUUGACACUGAAUACCAGCGCCUAGAGGCCUCCUAUAGCGAUUCGCCCCCCGGGGAAGAGGACCUGUUGGUGCAUGUGGCCGAGGGGAGCAAAUCACCUUGGCACCACAUUGAAAACCUUGACCUCUUCUUCUCUCGAGUUUAUAAUCUCCACCAGAAGAAUGGCUUCACAUGUAUGCUCAUUGGAGAGAUGUUUGAACUCAUGCAGUUCCUCUUUGUGGUUGCCUUCACCACCUUCCUGGUUAGCUGUGUGGACUAUGACAUCCUCUUUGCCAACAAGAUGGUGAACCACAGUCUCCAUCCUACUGAGCCUGUCAAGGUCACUCUGCCAGAUGCCUUUUUGCCUGCCCAAGUCUGUAGUGCCAGGAUUCAGGAAAAUGGCUCUCUUAUCACCAUCCUGGUCAUUGCUGGUGUCUUCUGGAUCCACCGGCUUAUCAAGUUUAUCUAUAACAUUUGCUGCUAUUGGGAGAUCCACUCCUUCUACCUACAUGCUCUUCGGAUCCCAAUGGGUUUCUCAGUGUAGCCCUGGCUGUCCUGGAACUCACUCUGUAGCCUGGCCUCAAACUCAGAAAUCUGCCUGCAUUUGCCUCCCAAGUGAUGGGAUUAAAGGCGUGCGCCAUCACUGCCCGCAGGAAGUAUCUUUAAGCAUACGACUUAUAUCUGUGUAGGCAAAGUCCUACAUCUGUGUUGAACAAAGGGUUUAGCUAUACUUUAUACAUCUCCUAUACUUGUCUCUUGUCCACCCUAUCCUGGCAGUCUGCCCUUCCAUACUGCACAUGGCAGGAAGUUCAGGCCCGGAUUGUGCAGACGCAGAAAGAGCAUCAGAUCUGCAUCCACAAGCGUGAGCUGACAGAGUUGGACAUCUACCAUCGCAUCCUACGUUUCCAGAACUACAUGGUGGCCCUGGUGAACAAAUCCCUCCUGCCUCUGCGCUUCCGUCUGCCCGGCCUCGGAGAGGUUGUCUUCUUCACCCGUGGCCUCAAGUACAACUUUGAGCUCAUCCUCUUCUGGGGACCCGGCUCUCUGUUUCUCAAUGAGUGGAGCCUCAAGGCCGAGUACAAACGUGGAGGGCAACGGCUAGAGCUGGCCCAGCGUCUCAGCAACCGCAUCUUGUGGAUUGGCAUCGCCAACUUCCUGCUGUGUCCCCUCAUCCUCAUCUGGCAGAUCCUCUAUGCCUUCUUCAGCUAUGCCGAGGUGCUGAAGAGAGAGCCGGGGGCCCUGGGAGCGCGUUGCUGGUCACUCUAUGGCCGUUGUUACCUCCGCCACUUCAAUGAGCUGGAGCAUGAGCUGCAGUCCCGCCUCAACCGAGGCUACAAGCCCGCCUCCAAGUACAUGAAUUGCUUCUUGUCACCGCUGCUGACUCUGCUGGCCAAGAAUGGUGCCUUCUUCGCUGGCUCUAUCCUGGCUGUGCUUAUUGCCCUCACCAUCUAUGAUGAAGAUGUGUUAGCUGUGGAACACGUCCUCACCACGGUCACCCUCCUGGGAGUCACGGUGACUGUGUGCAGGUCCUUCAUCCCAGACCAGCACAUGGUGUUCUGCCCCGAGCAGCUGCUCCGAGUGAUUCUUGCACACAUCCACUACAUGCCUGACCACUGGCAGGGUAAUGCCCACCGCUCGCAGACCCGGGACGAGUUUGCCCAGCUCUUCCAGUACAAGGCAGUGUUCAUCUUGGAGGAGUUGCUGAGUCCCAUCGUCACACCCCUCAUUCUCAUCUUCUGCCUCCGCCCUCGGGCCCUGGAGAUCAUAGACUUCUUCCGCAACUUUACGGUCGAGGUCGUGGGUGUGGGAGACACCUGCUCCUUUGCUCAGAUGGACGUUCGCCAGCAUGGCCAUCCUCAGUGGCUGUCUGGAGGGCAGACAGAGGCCUCAGUGUACCAGCAAGCCGAGGACGGGAAGACCGAGUUGUCGCUCAUGCACUUUGCCAUCACCAAUCCCGGCUGGCAGCCCCCUCGUGAGAGCACAGCUUUCCUGGGCUUCCUCAAGGAGCAGGUGCAGCGAGAUGGAGCAGCUGCUGGCCUGGCCCAGGGUGGCCUGCUCCCCGAGAAUGCCCUCUUCACAUCCAUCCAGUCCUUACAGUCUGAGUCCGAGCCACUGAGCCUUAUUGCAAAUGUGGUAGCAGGCUCAUCCUGCCGAGGACCCUCACUGUCCAGAGACCUGCAGGGCUCCAGGCACAGGGCUGAUGUUGCUUCUGCCCUUCGAUCCUUCUCCCCUCUGCAGCCUGGAGCGGCCCCUCAAGGCCGGGUUCCCAGUACCAUGACAGGCUCUGGAGUGGAUGCCAGGACAGCCAGCUCUGGGAGUAGCGUGUGGGAAGGACAGCUGCAGAGCCUGGUGCUGUCCGAAUACGCGUCCACCGAGAUGAGCCUGCACGCCCUGUACAUGCACCAGCUCCACAAGCAGCAGACCCAGGCUGAGCCCGAGCGGCAUGUGUGGCACCGCCGGGAGAGUGAUGAGAGUGGAGAGAGUGCCCCUGAAGAGGGGGGAGAGGGUGCCCGGGCCCCCCAACCCAUCCCCCGCUCGGCCAGCUAUCCCUGUGCUACACCCCGGCCUGGAGCACCUGAGACCACCGCCCUGCAUGGGGGCUUCCAGAGGCGCUACGGGGGCAUCACAGAUCCUGGCACAGUGCCCCGUGGCCCCUCUCACUUCUCCAGGCUGCCCCUGGGAGGAUGGGCAGAAGAUGGCCAGCCAGCAUCAAGGCACCCAGAGCCGGUGCCAGAGGAGGGCUCAGAGGAUGAACUCCCCCCUCAAGUGCACAAGGUAUAGGCAAGGCGGUAGCUGGUUCCCAUGCUCCAGGAUGGAGGUGGCAGCUGCCCUGCCAUCCCUUCUGUCUGCCAUGAGAGGGACUCUCUGAGUGUCGCCUGGCCCCACGUGUGGUGUUUUGUGUGUUCCUGCCUGGCCAAGGGAGGUGCCAAUGCUGGGCUUACCAUAGUCCAGGAAGAAUAUGAGGACUAGGGGCACACAAGAGUCUAGCUUCGUCUCCAGGACUCCCUUGGCUCAGAGUGUGGUGCUAGAAACUGGUCCCCAGCCCAGUCCCAGUACUGCCAUCUUUGCAUCCACCCCUGCAAGUCUCCAGAGGGCUUCCUGCCACAGAAGUGCUGCCAAGCAGAAGAACCUGUGCCAACUGUGGAGUGGGGAGGCAGGGCCUGAACCCUCAAUCCCUGCAGCCUAGCCUCCCCACCCUCCAGAACCUGGAAUAGCUGAGCAGCUCAGGCUGUGGCCCUUACCUCCAGUCCUCACCUCAACCUGCGCUGCAGCCUCCCUCCCCCCUGCACAUCACUGGCAUGUGUGCUGCUUGACCACCCCCCCUUCUGUUCACCUGCCCCCCUUCUGUUUGGCUUUGGCUUUUUGUUGGGGUGAGAGCCCUAGCUCCCAGCUCCCCUCACUAUCUUUUGACACUAAGAUGGAAGGUUACUAAGUUGCAGGAACAGGAUGAAAAUUCUUUAUUACCCUCUUCAACUUUUAGGACGAGCACUUGGGAGUGUGAGGCCUUCCUGGCUGCUUCUAUGUAGUCCUACCACCUGCACAGAGGGGCUGGCAGGGCAGAAGUGUGACCUCAGUUAUAUAUACAUCCCAGCUCUGCCCAGUAUCCCUCACUUACCAAGAGGAGAAUGGAGGGAUAAUGGACUCACCCUAGCCUAGGGCUUCGACAUUGCAUGCUGGGAUCCAGCUCCUACCCUUCCUGCACUCCCUUCCCCAGUUCUGCUCAGCUCAGCUGUGGGAGGUAAACUUAAGCUGAAGGUGGCGGACUCUACUGUCGCAGGCCACAGCAGACAGGGUGGGAGCCCUGUACAGCUUGAUAACCCUUAAUAAAGAAGGGACUUUGA